rnacentral:tRNA from 1 species
GAGGGUAUAGCUUAGUGGUAGAGUGCAUGCUUAGCAUGCACGAGGUCCUGGUUUGAUCCCAAUACCUCUA